AGCGCAGGCGGGAAGACAAGUUGGAAGUGAAAACCAUGGGCUCAACCCAUGAAUUGCUUUCAAAACUGUUUUUCUUGAGUAGUGCAGAGGUAGAUGGAAUUCCCGGUGUAGCGGUGGAAUGCGUAGAUAUCGGGAGGAACACCAGUGGCGAAGGCGGUCUACUGGGCACCAACUGACGCUGAGGCUCGAAAGCACGGGUAGCAAACA
rnacentral:rRNA from 1 species